GCCGUACCUAGCCCACACCUUACAAAACACAACUACAACCCCACUCAUAAACUAAAACAUUCACCACAUCUCAAAAGUAUAGGAGAUAGAAAUUCUAAUCUGGCGCUAUAGAGAAAGUACCGCAAGGGAACCAUGAAAGAAACAACCCAAAGCAACAAACAGCAAAGAUUACCCCUUGUACCUUUUGCAUAAUGAUUUAACUAGAACAACUUAGCGAAGAGAACUUAAGUUAAUAAUCCCGAAACCAGACGAGCUAUUCACGAGCAGCCCAAAAUAGAGCAAACUCAUCUAUGUGGCAAAAUAGCGAGAAGACUCAUGAAUAGAGGUGACAAGCCUACCGAGCCUGGUGAUAGCUGGUUGUCCAGAAAAGAGUUUUAGCUCAACCUUAAGCCUGCCCAAUAACCCCACAAUUCCACUGUAGACUUAAGAGAUAAUCUAAAAGGGGACAGCCUUUUAGAUAAAGGUUACAACCUUGCCUAGAGAGUAAGCAUGCUAACAGACCAUAGUGGGCCUAAAAGCAGCCAUCAAUAAAGAAAGCGUUCAAGCUCAACAAUCACAACAACCCCGAUACCAACAGCAGCCACCACCUCCUAGCACUAAAACUGGACCAUUCUAUAACUAUAUAGAAGAGAUACUGUUAAUAUGAGUAACAAGAAUUUUAUUCUCCCCGCACAAGUGUAUAUCAGAACGGAUAACCACUGAUAGUCAACAUACGUAGAGCAAGUUCAACAACAAGCUCUCUACCCCUCUAAUGUUAACCCAACACAGGAGUGCCCCAGGGAAAGAUUAAAAGGAGUAAAAGGAACUCGGCAAACACAAACCCCGCCUGUUUACCAAAAACAUCACCUCUAGCAUACCUAGUAUUAGAGGCACUGCCUGCCCAGUGACAUACGUUCAACGGCCGCGGUAUCCUGACCGUGCUAAGGUAGCAUAAUCACUUGUUCUCUAAAUAAGGACUUGUAUGAAUGGCCACACGAGGGUUUUUCUGUCUCUUACUCCCAAUCAGUGAAAUUGACCUCCCCGUGAAGAGGCGGGGAUGCCACAACAAGACGAGAAGACCCUAUGGAGCUUCAAUUAACUAGCCUAAGAGCAAGAUACCCAACACCAAAAAGGCAUAAAACACCCUCAUAAUAGGUUAGUAAUUUAGGUUGGGGUGACCUCGGAGUACAAAAAACCCUCCGAGCAUAUACAACUUAGACUUACCAGUCAAAGCCACACCAUAAUUGACCCAAAAUUUUUGAUCAACGGACCAAGUUACCCUAGGGAUAACAGCGCGAUCCUAUUCAAGAGUCCAUAUCGACAAUAGGGUUUACGACCUCGAUGUUGGAUCAGGACAUCCUAAUGGUGCAGCAGCUAUUAAGGGUUCGUUUGUUCAACGAUUAAAGUCCUACGUGAUCUGAGUUCAGACCGGAGCAAUCCAGGUCGGUUUCUAUCUGUUUCCGCGCUCCUCCCAGUACGAAAGGACAAGAGAAGCAAGGCCUCCUUAUCUCAAGCGCCUUCCAGUUCUACAGAUGACAUAAUCUUAAUCUGGCGCACAACAACCACACCGCCCCUAGACAAGGGCU
rnacentral:rRNA from 1 species